rnacentral:rRNA from 1 species
AGAGUUUGAUCCUGGCUCAGGAUGAACGCUGACAGAAUGCUUAACACAUGCAAGUCUACUUGAACUUCGGUUUGGGUGGCGGACGGGUGAGUAACGCGUAAAGAACUUGCCUCACAGUUAGGGACAACAUUUGGAAACGAAUGCUAAUACCUGAUAUUAUGAUUUUAGGGCAUCCUAAGAUUAUGAAAGCUAUAUGCGCUGUGAGAGAGCUUUGCGUCCCAUUAGCUAGUUGGAGAGGUAACGGCUCACCAAGGCGAUGAUGGGUAGCCGGCCUGAGAGGGUGAACGGCCACAAGGGGACUGAGACACGGCCCUUACUCCUACGGGAGGCAGCAGUGGGGAAUAUUGGACAAUGGACCAAAAGUCUGAUCCAGCAAUUCUGUGUGCACGAUGACGUUUUUCGGAAUGUAAAGUGCUUUCAGUUGGGAAGAAAAAAAUGACGGUACCAACAGAAGAAGUGACGGCUAAAUACGUGCCAGCAGCCGCGGUAAUACGUAUGUCACAAGCGUUAUCCGGAUUUAUUGGGCGUAAAGCGCGUCUAGGUGGUUAUGUAAGUCUGAUGUGAAAAUGCAGGGCUCAACUCUGUAUUGCGUUGGAAACUGCAUGACUAGAGUACUGGAGAGGUAAGCGGAACUACAAGUGUAGAGGUGAAAUUCGUAGAUAUUUGUAGGAAUGCCGAUGGGGAAGCCAGCUUACUGGACAGAUACUGACGCUAAAGCGCGAAAGCGUGGGUAGCAAACAGGAUUAGAUACCCUGGUAGUCCACGCCGUAAACGAUGAUUACUAGGUGUUGGGGGUCGAACCUCAGCGCCCAAGCUAACGCGAUAAGUAAUCCGCCUGGGGAGUACGUACGCAAGUAUGAAACUCAAAGGAAUUGACGGGGACCCGCACAAGCGGUGGAGCAUGUGGUUUAAUUCGACGCAACGCGAGGAACCUUACCAGCGUUUGACAUCUUAGGAAUGAGACAGAGAUGUUUCAGUGUCCCUUCGGGGAAACCUAAAGACAGGUGGUGCAUGGCUGUCGUCAGCUCGUGUCGUGAGAUGUUGGGUUAAGUCCCGCAACGAGCGCAACCC